rnacentral:rRNA from 1 species
UUGGAGGGCAAGUCUGGUGCCAGCAGCCGCGGUANUUCCAGCUCCAAUAGCGUAUAUUAAAGUUGUUGCAGUUAAAAAGCUCGUAGUUGAACCUUGGGCCUGGCUGGCCGGUCCGCCUCACCGCGUGCACUGGUUCGGCCGGGCCUUUCCCUCUGGGGAACCUCAUGCCCUUCACUGGGUGUGAUGGGGAACCAGGACUUUUACUGUGAAAAAAUUAGAGUGUUCAAAGCAGGCCUAUGCUCGAAUACAUUAGCAUGGAAUAAUAGAAUAGGACGUGUGGUUCUAUUUUGUUGGUUUCUAGGACCGCCGUAAUGAUUAAUAGGGACAGUCGGGGGCAUUAGUAUUCAAUUGUCAGAGGUGAAAUUCUUGGAUUUAUUGAAGACUAACUACUGCGAAAGCAUUUGCCAAGGAUGUUUUCAUUAAUCAGGAACGAAAGUUAGGGGAUCGAAGACGAUCAGAUACCGUCGUANUCUUAACCAUAAACUAUGCCGACUAGGGGUCGGACGGUGUUAUUUUUUGACCCGNUCGGCGCCUUACNGGAAAC